AUACGGAGGGUGCAAGCGUUACUCGGAAUCACUGGGCGUAAAGCGCGCGCAGGCGGGCUGACAAGUUGGAUGUGAAAGCCUACGGCUCAACCGUAGAACUGCAUCCAAAACUGUCAGUCUAGAGUCUGGGAGGGGAAGAUGGAAUUAGUUGUGUAGGGGUAAAAUCCGUAGAGAUAACUAGGAAUACCAAAAGCGAAGGCGAUCUUCUGGAACAGUACUGACGCUGAGGCGCGAAAGCGUGGGGAGCAAACAGGAUUAGAAACCCUUGUAGUCC
rnacentral:rRNA from 1 species